UACGUAGGGGGCAAGCGUUGUCCGGAUUUAUUGGGCGUAAAGAGCGUGUAGGCGGCCAAGCAGGUCCGCUGUGAAAACUCGAGGCUCAACCUCGAGACGUCGGUGGAAACCGUUUGGCUAGAGUCCGGAAGAGGAGAGUGGAAUUCCAGGUGUAGCGGUGAAAUGCGUAGAUAUCUGGAGGAAUACCGGUGGCGAAGGCGGCAUCCUGGACCGACAUUGACGCUGAACGGCGAAAGCUAGGGGAGCAAACGGG
rnacentral:rRNA from 1 species